AUAAUGUCAAAGUGCUUACAGUGCAGGUAGUGAUAUGUGCAUCUACUGCAGUGAAGGCACUUGUAGCAUUAU
rnacentral:pre_miRNA from 1 species